rnacentral:lncRNA from 1 species
AGAACUGGAUUCAGCACCGCAAAACUGAAACCGCCUCCAGAAAAGAGCCUCUUGCGAGAACGCAGAGGCUUGCCUUUCUCUCCUGUCGCUGAGAGUCCCUGGCUGGCUUGGGGACCCCAUGGUGCUGCUCGCUCUUGCCUGUUGCUGGUGGGGGCUUCCUGCUCCUGACCUCAUACUACCUCUGCGGCAGAGGGCCUGAGACAGAGGGGAUCCCUGCCCAUCCCGCCCCAGGGGAGAGUCACAGCCACUUUCUGGGCCUGGUGGUGACUUCACAUUGGUUGCCAGGAGGAUGAUUUUGAAGAGGCCUGUCGAGCCCUCUUGUAACUAAUCUUCCAGUGUCUGCCGCUGAAGGUGUCCAGUAGCUAACUUCAGGACUCUGUCAUCCCCUCUUCAUUUGGGGGAAUUUCCUCUACUUACUUGAAACAUUCAGAUUUUCCACUGUCAGUUUUGGGUGAAUGAACUAUGCUUAUUACUUUUAAUAAAA